rnacentral:rRNA from 1 species
GAUGAACGCUGGCGGCGUGCUUAACACAUGCAAGUCGAACGAAGCACCUUGAUUCGAUUCUUCGGAUGAAGAUCUUGGUGACUGAGUGGCGGACGGGUGAGUAACGCGUGGGUAACCUGCCUCAUACAGGGGGAUAACAGUUAGAAAUGACUGCUAAUACCGCAUAAGACCACAGCACCGCAUGGUGCAGGGGUAAAAACUCCGGUGGUAUGAGAUGGACCCGCGUCUGAUUAGGUAGUUGGUGGGGUAACGGCCUACCAAGCCGACGAUCAGUAGCCGAGCUGAGAGGGUGACCGGCCACAUUGGGACUGAGACACGGCCCAAACUCCUACGGGAGGCAGCAGUGGGGGAUAUUGCACAAUGGGGGAAACCCUGAUGCAGCGACGCCGCGUGAGCGAUGAAGUAGUUCAGUAUGUAAAGCUCUAUCAGCAGGGAAGAAAAUGACGUUACCUGACUAAGAAGCACCGGCUAAAUACGUG